UAGUGAAAAUGAACGUCUACGGAGGGAAAAUCGCAAUCUACAACGGGAGAAUGAACAACUGCGAGGCGUGACACAUGUUGUGCGGGCUUUGACAAAUCAAGGAGGUCUAGACUUUGAUGCUCUGAUGCGGGAAGGUGCACAUCAUGCGUCGGACACAUAUGAUUCUGAAUGGGAAUACUACAGUGGCAACGAUGGUCAAUAUGGAUCUGAACAUGGCACUGGAAGCGACAUUGAUGGUGGUAACAAUCAUCUUGACAAUGAAGACGAUUGGGCAGAUUUUAAUUAGAG